rnacentral:rRNA from 1 species
GAGUAAUGUCUGGGAAACUGCCUGAUGGAGGGGGAUAACUACUGGAAACGGUGGCUAAUACCGCAUAACGUCGCAAGACCAAAGAGGGGGACCUUCGGGCCUCUUGCCAUCAGAUGUGCCCAGAUGGGAUUAGCUUGUUGGUGAGGUAACGGCUCACCAAGGCGACGAUCCCUAGCUGGUCUGAGAGGAUGACCAGCCACACUGGAACUGAGACACGGUCCAGACUCCUACGGGAGGCAGCAGUGGGGAAUAUUGCACAAUGGGCGCAAGCCUGAUGCAGCCAUGCCGCGUGUAUGAAGAAGGCCUUCGGGUUGUAAAGUACUUUCAGCGGGGAGGAAGGUGUUGUGGUUAAUAACCGCAGCAAUUGACGUUACCCGCAGAAGAAGCACCGGCUAACUCCGUGCCAGCAGCCGCGGUAAUACGGAGGGUGCAAGCGUUAAUCGGAAUUACUGGGCGUAAAGCGCACGCAGGCGGUCUGUCAAGUCGGAUGUGAAAUCCCCGGGCUCAACCUGGGAACUGCAUUCGAAACUGGCAGGCUUGAGUCUUGUAGAGGGGGGUAGAAUUCCAGGUGUAGCGGUGAAAUGCGUAGAGAUCUGGAGGAAUACCGGUGGCGAAGGCGGCCCCCUGGACAAAGACUGACGCUCAGGUGCGAAAGCGUGGGGAGCAAACAGGAUUAGAUACCCUGGUAGUCCACGCCGUAAACGAUGUCUACUUGGAGGUUGUGCCCUUGAGGCGUGGCUUCCGGAGCUAACGCGUUAAGUAGACCGCCUGGGGAGUACGGCCGCAAGGUUAAAACUCAAAUGAAUUGACGGGGGCCCGCACAAGCGGUGGAGCAUGUGGUUUAAUUCGAUGCAACGCGAAGAACCUUACCUGGUCUUGACAUCCACGGAAGUUUUCAGAGAUGAGAAUGUGCCUUCGGGAACCGUGAGACAGGUGCUGCAUGGCUGUCGUCAGCUCGUGUUGUGAAAUGUUGGGUUAAGUCCCGCAACGAGCGCAACCCUUAUCCUUUGUU